AAUGACUAGAUUGUAAAUAAUUAAAUCUUUAUUAAAUGGCAUAUUUUCCCAGUAAAGUUAAAAGUAAGCUGGACAAAGGAUUAACGGGUGGUAGAUAGGAAUCUUUAUUUUAAAACGACUCACAGCCAAUGAAUUAUUAAGAGAUCCUAAGAUAGAGUAGAUCUGUAAUUCUUUUUUUCUUCUAUAAGACAUAUGAAAACACUUCAAAUGCAUCUUAUUUUUAUCUAAGUUUUUAAGGCAUGUUGGCGUGUUUUCUGUUUUU